GACAUAGUUCCUUUUUUAUUGUUUUAUUACAUUUUAGUGUCUCUAAUAAAGUAUUUUACUUUUAACCCUGGUGGCCGGCAUCAUCUUACACUAGAGGGAGUGUAGUCCCUCACUACACAUUGCACGACUGCAGAGCCAUAGGGGCUCUAGGUUUGUAAGUACAUUUCUUACUUACCACUUCUCUUAUUUGAAAAUCAACUGUGCUACCCUAUUGUGUUUUUUUCCAACUUUCCUAGUACCACACACAGAUCUCUCCAUAGGGGUGGGUCGCUGUAACGGACCCGAAGCCAAAUACACCAGAGCUAGGUUUAU